rnacentral:tRNA from 1 species
UGCACCGGUAGCUCAAUUGGAUAGAGUACCUGGCUACGGACCAGGGGGUUAGGGGUUCGAAUCCCUUCCGGUGCGA